AGUAAGAUCAGCUAAAAAAGCUUUUGGGCCCAUACCCCAAACAUGAUGGCAGACCCCCAUCUUUUACUA
rnacentral:tRNA from 1 species